rnacentral:rRNA from 1 species
UCUAACCUACGGGGCGCAGCAGUGGGGGAUAUUGCACAAUGGGGGGAACCCUGAUGCAGCGACGCCGCGUGAAGGAAGAAGUAUCUCGGUAUGUAAACUUCUAUCAGCAGGGAAGAAAAUGACGGUACGUGACUAAGAAGCCCCGGCUAACUACGUGCCAGCAGCCGCGGUAAUACGUAGGGGGCAAGCGUUAUCCGGAUUUACUGGGUGUAAAGGGAGCGGAGGCGGCAGUGCAAGACAGAAGUGAAAGCCCGGGGCUCAACUCCGGGACUGCUUU